GGUCCAAUACAUGGGAUUAACGGAAAACAAUACAUCUUGGGGUCCCCACCGGCAGAUGGAAGAUUUGGCCACCAGAAGCCUGCUGCUGUGUCACUCGAGAGCCACACUCAGCUUUGAUGCAUUUCCUCCUGUGGUGACUCCCACAAAGUAGUUAACAUCCAGUGUAGACAGCACUUUGUGAAUGGAUAUUCAACUUCAUGGCUCAUCAAUUGAGACAAUGGGCCAUGGAAGAAGUUUGGCCCCAUCUGUAGCUGAAAUACAUGCAAGGGCAUGUGACCAGCUCAUGUGACACUGGACUCGAUCUUGUGCCUGUACGUUUCCAGUUACUGUGCUGGUAUCUCUGUUUGGGACAAUGAAGUUCCCUCCACAUGGCAGAAGCAA